rnacentral:rRNA from 1 species
GACGAACGCUGGCGGCGUGCUUAACACAUGCAAGUCGAACGGAAAGGCCCUGCUUUUGUGGGGUGCUCGAGUGGCGAACGGGUGAGUAACCCGUGAGUAACCUGCCCUUGACUUUGGGAUAACUUCAGGAAACUGGGGCUAAUACCGGAUAGGAGCUCCUGCUGCAUGGUGGGGGUUGGAAAGUUUCGGCGGUUGGGGAUGGACUCGCGGCUUAUCAGCUUGUUGGUGGGGUAGUGGCUUACCAAGGCUUUGACGGGUAGCCGGCCUGAGAGGGUGACCGGCCACAUUGGGACUGAGAUACGGCCCAGACUCCUACGGGAGGCAGCAGUGGGGAAUAUUGCACAAUGGGCGGAAGCCUGAUGCAGCAACGCCGCGUGCGGGAUGACGGCCUUCGGGUUGUAAACCGCUUUCGCCUGUGACGAAGCGUGGGUGACGGUAAUGGGUAAAGAAGCACCGGCUAACUACGUG